UUGGGCGUAAGAGCUCGUAGGCGGUUUGUCGCGUCUGCUGUGAAAUCCCGAGGCUCAACCUCGGGCUUGCAGUGGGUACGGGCAGACUAGAGUGCGGUAGGGGAGAUUGGAAUUCCUGGUGUAGCGGUGGAAUGCGCAGAUAUCAGGAGGAACACCGAUGGCGAAGGCAGAUCUCUGGGCCGUAACUGACGCUGAGGAGCGAAAGCAUGGGGAGCGAACAGGAUUAGAUACCCUGGUAGUCCAUGCCGUAAACGUUGGGCGCUAGAUGUAGGGACCUUUCCACGGUUUCUGUGUCGUAGCUAACGCAUUAAGCGCCCCGCCUGGGGAGUACGGCCGCAAGGCUAAAACUCAAAGGAAUUGACGGGGGCCCGCACAAGCGGCGGAGCAUGCGGAUUAAUUCGAUGCAACGCGAAGAACCUUACCAAGGCUUGACAUACACCGGAAACGGCCAGAGAUGGUCGCCCCCUUGUGGUCGGUGUACAGGUGGUGCAUGGUUGUCGUCAGCUCGUGUCGUGAGAUGUUGGGUUAAGUCCCGCAACGAGCGCAACCCUCGUUCUAUGUUGCCAGCGGGUUAUGCCGGGGACUCAUAGGAGACUGCCGGGGUCAACUCGGAGGAAGGUGGGGAUGACGUCAAAUCAUCAUGCCCCUUAUGUCUUGGGCUUCACGCAUGCUACAAUGGCCGGUACAAAGGGCUGCGAUACCGUAAGGUGGAGCGAAUCCCAAAAAGCCGGUCUCAGUUCGGAUUGAGGUCUGCAACUCGACCUCAUGAAGUCGGAGUCGCUAGUAAUCGCAGAUCAGCAACGCUGCGGUGAAUACGUUCCCGGGCCUUGUACACACCGCCCGUCAAGUCAUGAAAGUCGGUAACACCCGAAGCCGGUGGCUAACCCUUGUGGAAGGAGCCGUCGAUGUGGGAUCGGUGAUAGACGAGUCGUACAGGGGUACCGAUACACGUCGACGUUCCUUCACAGGUAGGCACGCUUCGGGUGUUACCGACUUCAUGACUUGACGGGCGGG
rnacentral:rRNA from 2 species